rnacentral:misc_RNA from 1 species
CAGAGGGCAGGGUGCUGGCUAAYGGYCAKUCGAGGYSASUYKCAGGAAAGUGCCACAGAAAACAAACCGCCCGUUCCGAAAGGGGCGGGUAAGGGUGAAACGGUGCGGUAAGAGCGCACCGCGUCCGGGGCGACUCGGACGGCACGGUAAACCCCACCUGGAGCAAGAGCCAAUAGGAGCGCGUCCCUCGCUGUCGGGGGGACAAGGAUGGCCCGUCCCAGGCGCUCGGGUUGCUCGCUGAUGAGGCUCCUGGGCAACCAGGACCCUAGAUGAAUGUUCGCCGCCCACUCCGAAAGGGGUGGGG